rnacentral:rRNA from 1 species
CCUACGGGAGGCUGCAGUGGGGAAUAUUGCACAAUGGAGGAAACUCUGAUGCAGCGACGCCGCGUGAAGGAAGACGGUCUUCGGAUUGUAAACCUCUGUCUUUGGGGAAGAAAAUAACGGUGCUCAAAGAGGAAGCUGCGGCAAACUACGAGCCAGCAGCAGCGGUGAUAAGUAGGGAGCGACAGUUGUCCGGAAUUACUGGGUGAAAAGGGGGCGUAGGGGGGCGAGAAAGGUGAAGGGUAAAUCUACCGGCUAAACUGGUAGCUGCGUGCAAAACGACUUGUCUUGAGUGAAGUAGAGGCAGGCGGAAUUCCUAGUGUAGCGGUGAAAUGCGUAGAUAUUAGGAAGAACACCAGUGGCGAAGGCGGCCUGCUGGGCUUUAACUGACGCUGAGGCUCGAAAGCGUGGGGAGCAAACAGGAUUAGAUACCCCUGUAGUC